CUUGCCCCACAGAAACAUCUCCUAUCCUAUCCCCUUCUCUCUCUCAGCCUUGCCCCACAGAAACAUCUCCUAUCCUAUCCCCUUCUCUCCAUGAGGCUUGCCCCACAGAAGCCUGUCCUAUGCUAUCCCAUUCUCUCCAGAGUUAUUUUCAAAUUGGGAAGGGGAGUAGAACAUCUUACUAAAUAGCAUCAGAGUAUGUUAUAGUAAUAUAGGAAAUAAUAAUGCUCUGAUGGUCAUUUCAAAAAAUCCUUUCUUAGUGAGUACCUAGAAGCCAAGAGGAACAUACAUGGCAAAUUUCAACUUUGUAGGCUUUACGGUUCUGGAGAUUUCAUAAUUAUAGAUUUGCUGCACAGAGAGUCAUUGUAUUUACAAAAAAGACGAAUGACUGAAUGCAAUCCCUUCUUCGGGAGGAAACGGGUCCCUUGCCCUUCUGCUAGUGCCUGGCACUGCUAUUUCUACCUCUUUAACCCUAAUAACAAUAUAAAUAGUUGAGUCAUGCCUUAAUUUUGCUAACAUGCCACAAAGGAGAUCUCAAACAAAUCUCAUACCUUUUCUGCAUCCAAGUUCCUGAAAAGGUUAGUAUGCAGGAAGCCCAAAUGAAUUUAAUACUACCUUUUUGCUGCUCUUCUCUGAAUAGUCAUUUUUCUCACCUAGUAUGUCUGAUUAUAAACUAGAAUUUUGAUGAGAAAAAAAGAGGGAGAAGAAAUAUUCCAAACCAUCAACUCUAAGGAUCCACUGUCACAGUUUGAUCUGUGAGUCUGUUUCAAACAACAUCUGGUAACACUAGAGUUCCCUCUUUAUGACUGGUUGUCAAGAUCAAUAAGGGUUAACAGUUGCGGCCUCUUCCAAAAGCUUGCCACUCCACCCAGGAGCAGAUUCAGGUAGGCACGCAAAAAAGGAUAACAAAGUUGUGCAUUCCUAAUUGCCAAGUAGACAUUUCGUGCGGUGUCAGGAACAGGAGGCGGAAGGCGGGAGGAAAAGCCCACAGUUCCCGUCCCAGAGAGAGACAGAGAGCGAGAGACAGGGACACAGAGAGAAGUCAAAUGGGUAACACGCCCCUCCGAUUUCCUGCCAUAUCGGAGGUUAAUUUCUGCAUUGGCCUGCCCACUCGCGCACCACUGACAAGAAAAGAGCUCCUUCCCCGGAUGCCACAGAGGGCGGCUCGCUCAGGCGCUCCGGCCCCGGGCACCUUUUCUCUACUUCGUUGUCUUGCUUCACCCCCAGCCCCACUAGCCGUCUUCCGCCUGUGGCGCUAUGCCAGCCACCCGUGUGGUGCAAAGACGCCGCCACGGAAGAGAUUCCCUAUCCCCAGUUUAUGGAUGAAUGGUAGUGCUUUUUUGACAGCGCGUGAUUAACAAGAAAUGGAUUUGGCCUCCCGGCUUUCAUUCAAGCCUUUCCAGCAGCCACCGCUACCCCUCCAAGUGCCCAGGCCAGAGUCAGCGCGCAGACCAGACAAUUAAAGGUCUCCAGGGGUGGGUGGGAAAACAGACCUGAUGUUGCCCCUUUUCCCUCCCCCAAACGGAUAGAGGGAGAUAGACAAGAUACACCCUUCGGAUGUGUCCUAUCCGUCUCACGAUACUUGCCAUUAAAAUUGUAAUGCCACAAGAGACGAAUAGCAAUAGCGACCACCCGGUUCGGCCUGCCUCGCGAUCAUCCACGCAGCAAAUCUCAGCCCAAAAAAAGUGGGGGAGGGGAAGGGAGAAAGACAGACACAUAACCCAAGCUCUGUCUACCUUCACACAUACCCAUUUAUGUCGCGUUUGGACUCCGCCAAACAGGGUGAAAGUUUGAAGUUUGCGAGGCGGUGAAAGGCAACCGAGCCGAUGGAGUCGGAUGAAUUACAGGAAGCUUCUUUUCUCUGAUUGCAAAAAGAGCGACGUCUUCGCUUCCUUUCGACUAGUCAGUGCCCAUUGCAACAACAGCAGCACUGUUCUUUUUAUUUCCUGCUCUGAAACUCUCCCGCCCUCCGAAGAAAAGAAGAAGGGGGGACUUUUUUCUCGACAGAAAGAAGAAAAGGGGACGACAAUAAAGCACCUAACGCGCUAGCGAGAAACGUAAAGGAAGAGGGGGAAAACGGAUUACACCUUAAAGUGCGAGAGGGAAGCAGCGAGCGGGAGUGCGCGCGCGCGUUAGGGCGGGAACGCAAGCAAAGGGGCGGCGGGAGCGGUUCGCUGCAAGGGAAUGGGCUGGCUGAAUGGUGGGUGUUGCCCUUCCCAAGACCCUUCGUGCGGCCAAGAUCUUCACAACAUCCAGAUACUGGAACAGAACUUCAAGAACUUCAUUUGGAUGUCUGAGGGCUAAAGCAUACAAUUGGAUACUAUCAGCAUAUUGAUGAUAUUUUAUACUAACAGAUCACCACACCCAUGGAUUUAUGUAAAUAAUGAAAAAGAAGGAAAGUGGUAAGUCCCGCGGCUUCCUGCAAAGCAGUGGCCUAGAGUCAAUCACAUCUCUUCCAUCAACACUGAAUGAAACUAGCUUUUGAAGAAGCACUGCCAAAUGUUGCCCCUUUCUCCUAGCCCUAUCAGCCAGGACAUCAUGGUGAUGAUAAGAAGGCCACUGAAAGAUCCAGGAUGUGCCAUCCCAUCACACAUCUGCCAAAUAGUCAACAAGUGUGGCUAAGCCAUCCCAAUCUGAAUGCCAAUUGGAAGGGUCCAUAUAAUCUGCUUCCUAUGGAUCCUAUGAAGCUGGAAGCCAACCACUGCUCAACAACCUUCCCUAAAAGGUAAGGGUGAUGACUGAACAUAAAUUAUCCAGAUUGUUUUGAUCCAAAGAUGGUGUCUUGAAGAGCAGGUAGAACUGCCCCCUUUCCAAGGGGAAUUUACUUUAUGUGGCUCCACUUACAUUAAUGAAUCAGAAGAAAGCAAUAUACAGGAAGCCAUACCUACUGUCAGCUUUAGAAGACGUAUUAGGCCAGAAGCUUCCAUGCUGCCACUUUUUCAGGUGUGGGAAAGUAGGAGGGGGAUUUAGUAGAGAGGUUGUCUUUAGACAUAAUAGCAUUCUUCCUGUCGGUCAAGGUCAGGCCGAUCCUGCAUCUGGAGAAGGAGGGGUCAGAGUGCUGUCUCAAGAUGGGAUGGUUGGUGAUUGGAGCAUGUGAUCGACUGCGGAAUCAGGAUGGUUUGGGGGGGGUUGAUUUACUGAGGGAAAACCGAGUUUUCCCAGAUGUGACAGUUUACUUAUCUUAGUAAAUAGAACUUUGAAAGAUGCUUGCUUCAGUUUUUACUUGGAGUUGGUGUUUUUUUUUCUGGAAUGCUGACAUUAACCUGAAUCUCCAUUAAAGCAUAACAGCACCCCAUAAGGGGGCUGUCAGGGGUGCUGAGCCCCAGCAUCUACCUAAACCUCGGGUGGUGCAAAGACUCAAUGAAGAUGGGGGAGAAAGAAGAGAUCACAGAGGGGGCCGUGGGGAAAGAUACUCAAGGAUUUAUUGACACCCUGUUUUCUCCUGAAGAAAUGGUGCAAACCAUUGAGGCUGCAGAGGAGGCCCGAAGGUUAGGCACUCAGCCCAAGGAGUCAGAUUCCUGGAAAAGUUGCCAGUCUGAUCCAACUCCAGAAAGGGGACCAGAGGAAAGACUGCCUAGAUAUCCUGCCGUUCCCAGCCCAGCGAAGUUGCCCCCUGAGCCAGAGUGGAGAAGGGGGAAAGCUUUGGAACCUGUUGCCCCCAUCACGAAGCCAAUAAUUAACUGGGCUCCUUGAGCAUUUUGAACGGAUGGAAGUGGGAAGUUACGCACCCCUCUCCCAAACUCCUCAAGUGAGAUGGAACUUAGCGCAACCUAUGUUCACCUUCCCCCAAUUGGCCAGAGGAAUUAGCAGGGCGCAGGCACAUCUACCCAGAGAGGGGCGAAACGCAGAUCAGUUCCCCUGCACAGCAGGACCUUCCCGCAGCUGGGACACAUCAGAUGCAUGAUGUGGGGAAUGCAGAACCCCCCUGCUAGCCACCCUCACCUGCCUGCCUGCCUGCCUUUGUGCUACCUCCUGCUCAAUGUAUCCCCCCAAGUUGGGAUUCUAUCCUGGCCAGAGGUGGGUCCAGUGCCAGUGGUAUCCACCAUCAUCUGCUCCAAUUUACCAGGGAUCCCCAUGGCCCCAAUAUGGCCCAAUGAUCCCAGCACCGCAGGGGGGCCAAUCUAGCAGCUGGCUGGAGCUCCCCCCCCCCCGCAGCCCAACAAGCAGCUCAGCCACCGGCCCCUCUCCCUCAGCAGGUGGCUGUCCAGCAACCAGCAGCAGCUCCGCCACAGGUUCCAGCUCAACCGCCCAUUCCUGGGUCCAAUCCACCUGCGAGGCCAACGCCACCCCACUUCAGAGCAACAUUUGAUUGUACGCCUGCCAAACUGGCUUACUUCCUCAGCAGGGUCUGAGCUUAUAUAGAUGAGUAUGGAUACCAAUAUGAAUCAGAUUGGGACUUGAUAUCAACGAUUUCUGAUGGGAUGAAUGAAGGGGAGGCUUCUGAAUGGAUAGCCCAGCUGCAUAAUGAGGGCGCUGCAGAACUAAACGAUGCCAAUGGGUUUGUUGCGCUGCUCUGGGCCAGAUUUGAAGACCCAGACUGAAUCAAUGAAAGUGAAGCCACAAUAAAGGUGAUGAAGCAAGGUAAGUGACCCAUAGAAGACUUUGUGGGGGACUUUAAUUGGGUCGCAGGGAACCUGGGACAUUGGCCGGACCGCAUACUCCUACACUAUUUUAAAGAGGCCAUUGAUCAAGGAGUCAGAACAGUCCGUGGGGUCCAGGGUGUGCCUGAGCAACUGCACAACUGGUACACCAUGUCCAUAGCUCUGGACAGAGAAAUUUACCCCCACCGCAAAACACCAGCCGAAAAGCCUCCUUGGAGAGCGUUAGCAGACAGCUCCUUUCAAAGCCUGCUGAAGUCUCCCCCCCUCAACCAACAGGGGUGAUUAAAUGCUAUUGGUGUGGACAACCAGGACAUCGAGGUUCUGAGUGCCUGGCUCCUGCCCCAGUUGCACAACAACAUCCAGCCACGGCUGCCCGAAGCAAAAGGGCUCCAAGGAAGGCCCCAGUAAAUUAGCCAGACAAGCUGUAGAGGUUCCCCUCCCCACUGAAGAGACCAAAGAAGCCCCUCCCGAGGCAAGCAGAGAUGAUGACCUAAUGGGUGUGUUUUUUUCUGCAGGAGUGGACGCCUGUCAGCUUUGGAAGCCAUAUUAGGCCAGAAGCUUCCACGUUGCCACUUUCUCAUGUGUGGGAAAAUAGGAGGGGGAU